UUUUAAUAUCAUUUCCAUAUGUAAGCUGUACUUAAACUAAAUUAUUGUAAAAUUUGAGCGAUUUCUGUAAUAAAUUUCUUUUUUUAUUUCGAUAUUAACUUUAUUUCUCCUAUUACUUCAACAGAAAAAAAAACACUUUUACAUAAAUGUAUGCUUCUUUGGAAGACUGAUUAUGAGCGCAAAUGAAGGGUGACCCCACUUUUUUUAUUUUAUUUUUCUAUUAACUAUAAUAUAAAGUUCAUUUAUAGAAAAAUAUAGAGAAAUCCUAUAUAAAUGAUUUAGACCCGCCACCCCCUUAAAGUUUCUUGAUGAUCGCUUUCUAAAGUUUUUACUCCCUCAGCUCUCUACUAAAAAAACUCUAUUUUCAGCCACAUGACCCAAACAGGGAGUUGUACAUUUGACUGUCUUUCCCAGAUUGGAUUAAAUAGCGAUAAGGUGUAUUUUUUCGUAUUUUCCGGGAUUGUUGAAAACUUGCAUAUUCAUCACUAUCUGAUUUUGUGGUUUUAACAAU
rnacentral:lncRNA from 1 species